rnacentral:rRNA from 1 species
UACAGAGGUCUCAAGCGUUGUUCGGAUUCAUUGGGCGUAAAGGGUGCGUAGGCGGCGCGGUAAGUCGGGUGUGAAAUCUCGGAGCUUAACUCCGAAACUGCAUUCGAUACUGCCGUGCUUGAGGACUGGAGAGGAGACUGGAAUUCCUGGUGUAGCGGUGGAAUGCGCAGAUAUCAGGAGGAACACCGGUGGCGAAGGCGGUUCUCUGGGCCUUACCUGACACUGAGGAGCGAAAGCGUGGGGAGCGAACAGG